UACGGAAGGCAGCAGUGGGGAAUAUUGCACAAUGGGCGCAAGCCUGAUGCAGCCAUGCCGCGUGUAUGAAAAAGGCCUUCGGGUUGUAAAGUACUUUCAGUCGUGAGGAAGGUGUUAAGGUUAAUAACCUUAGCAAUUGACGUUAGCGACAGAAGAAGCACCGGCUAACUCCGUGCCAGCAGCCGCGGUAAUACGGAGGGUGCGAGCGUUAAUCGGAAUUACUGGGCGUAAAGGGCACGCAGGCGGUUAAUUAAGUUGGAUGUGAAAUCCCCGGGCUUAACCUGGGAAUGGCAUUCAAGACUGGUUAGCUAGAGUCUUGUAGAGGGGGUUAGAAUUCCAUGUGUAGCGGUGAAAUGCGUAGAGAUGUGGAGGAAUACCGGUGGCGAAGGCGGCCCCUGGACAAAGACUGACGCUCAUGUGCGAAAGCGUGGGGAGCAAACGAGGGAUUAGAU
rnacentral:rRNA from 1 species